rnacentral:rRNA from 1 species
UACAGAGGUCCCAAGCGUUAUUCGGAUUCACUGGGCGUAAAGGGUGCGCAGGCGGCCAAGUGUGUCAGGUGUGAAAUCCCGAGGCUUAACCUCGGAACUGCGCCUGAAACUACUUGGCUAGAGUACUGGAGAGGGUAACGGAAUUCACGGUGUAGCAGUGAAAUGCGUAGAUAUCGUGAGGAACACCAGAGGCGAAGGCGGUUACCUGGACAGUUACUGACGCUCAGGCACGAAAGCUAGGGGAGCAAACAGG